rnacentral:rRNA from 1 species
UGGGGAAUAUUGGACAAUGGGGGGAACCCUGAUCCAGCCAUGCCGCGUGUGUGAAGAAGGCCUUUUGGUUGUAAAGCACUUUAAGCGAGGAGGAGGCUACCGAGAUUAAUACUCUUGGAUAGUGGACGUUACUCGCAGAAUAAGCACCGGCUAACUCUGUGCCAGCAGCCGCGGUAAUACAGAGGGUGCAAGCGUUAAUCGGAUUUACUGGGCGUAAAGCGCGCGUAGGUGGCCAAUUAAGUCAAAUGUGAAAUCCCCGAGCUUAACUUGGGAAUUGCAUUCGAUACUGGUUGGCUAGAGUAUGGGAGAGGAUGGUAGAAUCCCAGGUGUAGCGGUGAAAUGCGUAGAGAUCUGGAGGAAUACCGAUGGCGAAGGCAGCCAUCUGGCCUAAUACUGACACUGAGGUGCGAAAGCAUGGGGAGCAAACAGG